AAAGAAACCAACCGGGAUUGCCCUAGUAACGGCGAGUGAAGCGGCAAGAGCUCAAAUUUGAAAGCUGGCCCCCGCGGGGUCCGCAUUGUAAUUUGCAGAGGAUGCUUCGGGAGCGGUCCCCAUCUAAGUGCCCUGGAACGGGCCGUCAUAGAGGGUGAGAAUCCCGUAUGGGAUGGGGUGCCCGCGCCCGUGUGAAGCUCCUUCGACGAGUCGAGUUGUUUGGGAAUGCAGCUCUAAUUGGGUGGUAAAUUUCAUCUAAAGCUAAAUAUUGGCCGGAGACCGAUAGCGCACAAGUAGAGUGAUCGAAAGAUGAAAAGCACUUUGAAAAGAGAGUUAAAAAGCACGUGAAAUUGUUGAAAGGGAAGCGCUUGCGAUCAGACUCGCCUGCGGGGUUCAGCCGGCCUUCGG
rnacentral:rRNA from 1 species